UGGGGAAUAUUGGACAAUGGGCGAAAGCCUGAUCCAGCCAUGCCGCGUGUGUGAAGAAGGUCUUCGGAUUGUAAAGCACUUUAAGUUGGGAGGAAGGGCAGUAAGCGAAUACCUUGCUGUUUUGACGUUACCGACAGAAUAAGCACCGGCUAACUCUGUGCCAGCAGCCGCGGUAAUACAGAGGGUGCAAGCGUUCAUCGGAAUUACUGGGCGUAAAGCGCGCGUAGGUGGUUCGUUAAGUUGAAUGUGAAAGCCCCGGGCUCAACCUGGGAACUGCAUCCAAAACUGGCGAGCUAGAGUAGGGCAGAGGGUGGUGGAAUUUCCUGUGUAGCGGUGAAAUGCGUAGAUAUAGGAAGGAACACCAGUGGCGAAGGCGACCACCUGGGCUCAUACUGACACUGAGGUGCGAAAGCGUGGGGAGCAAACAGG
rnacentral:rRNA from 1 species